CCACUCCCUGGGAUAAGUUGCUUUGAGAGUUGAGGAAGAAAAUACAGGUUAUACUUUCCUCCCUUCAGGACCUCUAAAAUCACAUAAGAGAAGUGAAUUUAUUGUGUGAAACAGGGUAUGGCAGUAUACAAAAUUAGAGGAUUUUUAGAACAGCCCCAUUGUCCUUCGAUUUGAACCUUUCACCUUGAUGGAAAUGGUACCAGAUGUUCCUUUCCAAGCCGUACAGUCAGUCAUUACUACCAUGGUUGUAAAGGCAGCUUCUGUCCAGGAUUGCCUGUCCCUGCUGUCCCCUUCAGUUUUACUGUUUCACUUCUAUUAAAAAUGCAUAACUGAUUUA